rnacentral:rRNA from 1 species
GUGAAUCAGUUUAAUUUGAGAUUAAAAAAAUUAUUUUAAUUUAUUUUUUUUUAUUUAUUUUUAAUAAAAAUAUUUUUUUUUUUUUUAUAAAUUUAGAUAAAAUUAUUUUUAUUAUAGUGAAAUAGUAUAGAGAUAGAAUAUUGAAAUAAAUAUUGAAAAUUAAAAUUUGAAGAAGAAAAUUUUAAUUAUUGUACCUUGUGUCUCAGGGUUUAUUUAAUAAAAAUUAUUAAUAUUAAUUUUCUCGAAUUUGAAAGAGCUAAGAAAUUAUAUAUUUUAUUGUUAAAUAAAUAUUUAUAAUAAUUUUUUAGAAAUGAAAUGUUAUUCGUUUUUAAAUUUAUCUAGUUUUUUAAGAAAUGAAUUUAAUUCAAUUAUUUAUUUUUAUUAGGAAUUAUUUUAUAUUAUAUUAAAAUAAAUAAUAAAUAUUUUAAGGGAUAAGCUUUAAAGUAUAAUUUUAAAAAUAAAAAUUUAAUUUUAAAAUUUAUAGAAUUGGAAGUAUUUAUUAUAAAGUGUGUUAUAGCAAAUUUUAUUUAGAAUAUAAUUUUUAUAUUAUUUUAAAUUUUUUAUUAAAAUUAUUAAUUUAAUAUUAAAAUUAAUGUAAUAAUGAUAAAAUUAGUAUAAUUUAAUGUUGAAUUAUUUUUUUUUAUUAAGGUUAAAUUAAGGAAUUCGGCAAAAAAUUUUUCCGCCUGUUUAUUAAAAACAUGUCUUUUUGAUAAUAAUUUAAAGUCUGGCCUGCCCUAUGAUAUUUUAAUAUUAAAUGGCCGCGAUAAUUUGAUCGUGCAAAGGUAGCAUAAUAAUUAGUUUUUUAAUUGGGAACUGGAAUGAAAGGUCGAACGAGAAAAAGACUGUCUCAAUUUAAAUUUAUUUAGAAUUUUAUUUUUAAGUGAAAAAGCUUAAAUAAUUUUAAAAGACGAGAAGACCCUAUAGAGUUUUAUAUUUAUUAAUUUAUUUUUUAGUUUUAGGAUAUAAUUUUAAAAUUUAUUUAUAAAUAUUUGGUUGGGGUGAUUAAAAAAUUUAAUAAACUUUUUUUUUUGUUAUAACAUAAAUUAAUGAUUGAUUGAUCCAUAUAUAAUGAUUAAAAGAUUAAAUUACCUUAGGGAUAACAGCGUAAUUUUUUUUAAGAGUUCUUAUCGAAAAAAAAGUUUGCGACCUCGAUGUUGGAUUAAAAUAAACUUUUGGUGUAGAAGCUAAAAUAGUUGGGUCUGUUCGACCUUUAAAAUUUUACAUGAUCUGAGUUUAAACCGGUGUAAGCCAGGUUGGUUUCUAUCUUUAAAUAAAUAAAAUAUUUUAGUACGAAAGGAUCAAAUAUUUAUAAUAAUUAUUUUUGUAUUUUGAAUAAGAUUAAUAAAAAUUACUUUGGCAGAAUAGUGUUUU